CCUCCCGUACCUAGCGGCGGCAGCCACCACCACCAUCGAUGCAGCCGCUCCGCUCCGCCACGACCGCUCCUCCUCACCGGCAUCUGCUCCUCAGAAUCAUCUUCUUCAGCUCCCUCGGAUGCAAAAUGAAGCUGCAGCACAAAGGGCGGUGCGGCAGCGCUGACACGGUGGCGGUCGCAGCACAAGAGCAUGUCGCGGCCACCCCUCUGGUCGUUGCUCCCUCAGCGUAGGCUUCAUCGUGCAGGCUCCACUUACUGGCGGAGUUUGAUGACGCGAAGCGUAGCUGUAUAAAGAGAUUAUUGAUGGGCACAACCGGUGUCGCAGGAAGCCACAGCCAAACUCUGGAAGCUUUAUAACAAGAUUUGAAGAAAGAAUUGAUAGGAGAACUUGAGUAUGAAGAUUCGUACUUUUACUUGUUGCCAUUGUUAGUGUCGAAAGAUUCAUAUUAUAAGCUAUCAUCAAGAUCGCUGUCUCAAAUUUCAUUAGUAUUUAGAAAGUCUGCAAAUCUGUUCUGCCGGCAACCAGCAGCAGCGAUUUUUUCUCACACUAAAUUAGCACCAGCCAGCAGCCACCAACCAGCCAGCAGUAUUUUUCUCUCACAGCAAAUCUGCACCGGCCGCCAACCAUAGCCAGCUGAACAGAGCGAGUAAUGUACUGUAAUCUCCAGCAAACUAGUGUUGAGCUGCUUGUGUUUAUCCCAGGUAAUGUAAUGUAAUCUCCAUCUGUUCUGUAUAGAAUAUAUGUCAGUUCUAUUUUGGAUUA